rnacentral:tRNA from 1 species
GGAGAGGUCGCAUAGUGGCCUAGUGCGGCGGUUUGCUAAACCGCUGAAGGGGUAACCCUUCCGAGAGUUCGAAUCUCUCCCUCUCCGCCA